rnacentral:tRNA from 1 species
GGCGGAUGUAGCCAAGNGGAUCA